AAACUGAAGAGUUUGAUCAUGGCUCAGAUUGAACGCUGGCGGCAGGCUUAACACAUGCAAGUCGAGCGGUAACAGGGGUAGCUUGCUACCCGCUGACGAGCGGCGGACGGGUGAGUAACGCGUAGAAAUCUGCCUGGUAGUGGGGGAUAGCCCAGAGAAAUUUGGAUUAAUACCGCAUACGCCCUACGGGGGAAAGCAGGGGACCUUCGGGCCUUGCGCUAUCAGAUGAGUCUGCGUCGGAUUAGCUAGUUGGUGAGGUAAUGGCUCACCAAGGCGACGAUCCGUAGCUGGUCUGAGAGGAUGAUCAGCCACACUGGAACUGAGACACGGUCCAGACUCCUACGGGAGGCAGCAGUGGGGAAUAUUGCACAAUGGGCGCAAGCCUGAUGCAGCCAUGCCGCGUGUGUGAAGAAGGCCUUAGGGUUGUAAAGCACUUUCAGCAGUGAGGAAAGG
rnacentral:rRNA from 1 species